rnacentral:tRNA from 1 species
GGGGAUAUAGCUCAGUGGUGUAGCACCUGCCUGACAAGCAUAAAGUCCUGAGUUUGGAUCUUGGUACCCCCC